UACGUAGGGGGCGAGCGUUGUCCGGAAUUAUUGGGCGUAAAGAGCUCGUAGGUGGUUUGUCGCGUUGUUCGUGAAAACUCACAGCUCAACUGUGGGCGUGCGGGCGAUACGGGCAGACUAGAGUACUGCAGGGGAGACUGGAAUUCCUGGUGUAGCGGUGGAAUGCGCAGAUAUCAGGAGGAACACCGGUGGCGAAGGCGGGUCUCUGGGCAGUAACUGACGCUGGAGGAGCGAAAGUGUCGGGGAGCGAACAGGA
rnacentral:rRNA from 1 species